rnacentral:rRNA from 1 species
GUCCACGCCGUAAACGAUGUCAACUAGCCGUUGGAAGCCUUGAGCUUUAGUGGCGCAGCUAACGCAUUAAGUUGACCGCCUGGGGAGUACGGCCGCAAGGUUAAACUCAAAUGAAUUGACGGGGCCCGCACAAGCGGUGGAGCAUGUGGUUUAAUUCGAAGCAACGCGAAGAACCUUACCAGGCCUUGACAUCCAAUGAACUUUCCAGAGAUGGAUUGGUGCCUUCGGGAACAUUGAGACAGGUGCUGCAUGGCUGUCGU